CCCCUCUCAGGGUUACACCUGGAGAGUUUCCAGGUCUCUACCAGUCUCGACUAUGGGAGGGAGAAUCAAGCAGAGGUAUACCUAUUCCAUUCCCAGCUUGACCAGUGGCUAGCGAGUGGAAGGCAAUCUGCUACAAGU